UACGUAGGUGGCAAGCGUUGUCCGGAAUUAUUGGGCGUAAAGCGCGCGCAGGCGGUCCUUUAAGUCUGAUGUGAAAGCCCACGGCUCAACCGUGGAGGGUCAUUGGAAACUGGAGACUUGAGUACAGAAGAGGAAAGCGGAAUUCCACGUGUAGCGGUGAAAUGCGUAGGGAUGAUGGAGGAACACCAGUGGCGAAGGCGCUUUCUGGUCUGUAACGUGACGCUGAGGCGCGAAGCGUGGGAGCAAACAGG
rnacentral:rRNA from 1 species